rnacentral:lncRNA from 1 species
AAAAAUCGAGGUUUGAACCUCUUUUCGUUUUAAAAGACCAAAAUUUAUGGAUACAACAAUCAUGAUAUUGGUCCCUAUUCUUCUAAGAUGGAUGAUAGAUGAAACACUUGUUCCCUCUACAUGGUACAUAGUUGUUACUCUCAACUAUGGUAAAAUAGCCGUUUUCAUUCCUAAACUAUCAACCUCAGCUCAAUUUUAUUACUGAAUUAUACCAAGACAGCCAUUUUAGUCUCUGAACUUUCUCAUGCAACUUAAUAUCAUUCUUUAUUGAGACUCGGUAGUUUGAGAACGAAAACCGCUAUAUUCUUCCCUCAACAACAAUGUAGGCUUCGAUCCAUCCACGUGUACGUUAUGCAUAUUUUCCCUAACAAAAUGAUCAAAUGGGAAAUAUAAACUCACUAAAAUUGUUUUCUAAACGCUUUGUCUAUUGUGCCAUAAAUAAUAAACAAUUGAACAUGGUUUUAGAAAGAGUGCCUAUGGGCUAUGGCAGACUGAAGCCAAUGCAAGAUGUCUGUACAUCCCUGUGGUUUGUUCUACUGAAAAUCGGCUACAAGCUUACAACCCUUUGACAUAAUAAUCUAUCGGAGAGUCUCAAUACAAUUUCAGCUUCUUCUUACUCAUAAGCUGUGUACAUCUUGCUGUUUGAUAGCACUAGCAGUUCAGCCUUUCUCUCUGGAGAAACUGCGACAGAAGUUCACAGACAUAACAUAUAAGGCCUACUCCCUCCAUCCCAAUAUAAACACACAUCUCACUUCUCAAGAAGUCAACUUUUUAAGUUUGACCAAAAUUUAUACAAAAAUGUACCACUAUUUAUUAUGUAUAAUAAGUAUCAUUAGAUUGAGCAUUGAGUAUACUUUCCUAAUAAAUUUAUUUGGAGAUAUAAAUGUCGAUACUAUUUUCUAUAUUCUUAAUCAAAUUUAAAAACAUUUGACUGACUCUUAAGAAGCUAUAUGUGCGUUUAUUUUGGAACGGAGGGAGUAUGUAUGUUACAGUAUAGCCAUAGGCCAAAAGUCUUGUCUCCAUCAAUGGUAGUGCCGAAAAGCUCAUGCACAAGCUUGAGGGGACACGCUACACCUCACAUAUUAAUUUUCCAACUAGUCAUUUUAUGAUUUACGUUCCCAAUAUUUGUGCAUGGUGAGUAGUUUAUGAGUAUUUGAAGCCACUUGAAGGGCACUAUUUUUCAAAAGAACAAGCAUAUCUGCAGGUAUCCUAUGGCCUAAUUUGUAUACUGUGUCUGUUUGCAGUCAAAUUUGAAACGUUGACCAUUUAUAUACAUGAAAUUAUGAACUCUGAAG